rnacentral:miRNA from 1 species
UAAGUUCAUCCAAACACCAUA